rnacentral:rRNA from 1 species
ACGCUCGACACCUACGGGGGCAGCAGUGGGGAAUAUUGCACAAUGGGCGAAAGCCUGAUGCAGCAACGCCGCGUGAGCGAAGAAGGCCUUCGGGUCGUAAAGCUCUGUCCUCAAGGAAGAUAAUGACGGUACUUGAGGAGGAAGUCCCGGCUAACUACGUGCCAACAGCCGCGGUAAUCUGAGCGGGCUGGCAAGGC